rnacentral:rRNA from 1 species
UACGAAGGGGGCUAGCGUUGUUCGGAAUUACUGGGCGUAAAGCGUGCGCAGGCGGCUUCUCAAGUCAGGGGUGAAAGCCCAGAGCUCAACUCUGGAAUUGCCUUUGAGACUGAGAGGCUUGAGUACGGGAGAGGUGAGUGGAAUUCCCAGUGUAGAGGUGAAAUUCGUAGAUAUUGGGAAGAACACCAGUGGCGAAGGCGGCUCGCUGGACCGUAACUGACGCUCAUGCACGACAGCGUGGGGAUCAAACAGG